rnacentral:rRNA from 1 species
GAUCAUGGCUCAGAUUGAACGCUGGCGGCAGGCUUAACACAUGCAAGUCGAACGGUAACAUAAAGAAGCUUGCUUCUUUGAUGACGAGUGGCGGACGGGUGAGUAAUGCUUGGGAAUCUAGCUUAUGGAGGGGGGAUAACUACGGGAAACUGUAGCUAAUACCGCGUAGUAUCGAGAGAUGAAAGUAGUGGGGACCGUCGGUCCG